AGAUUAAGUUAUUAAGGGCGCACGGUGGAUGCCUUGGCACUAGAAGCCGAUGAAGGACGUUACUAACGACGAUAUGCUUUGGGGAGCUGUAAGUAAGCUUUGAUCCAGAGAUUUCCGAAUGGGGAAACCCAGCAUGAGUUAUGUCAUGUUAUCGAUAUGUGAAUACAUAGCAUAUCAGAAGGCACACCCGGAGAACUGAAACAUCUUAG
rnacentral:rRNA from 1 species